rnacentral:rRNA from 1 species
AACGAACGCUGGCGGCAGGCUUAACACAUGCAAGUCGAGCGCCCCGCAAGGGGAGCGGCAGACGGGUGAGUAACGCGUGGGAACGUACCUUUUGGUUCGGAACAACUCCGGGAAACUGGAGCUAAUAACGGAUAAGCCCUAACGGGGAAAGAUUUAUCGCCGAAAGAUCGGCCCGCGUCUGAUUAGCUAGUUGGUGAGGUAACGGCUCACCAAGGCGACGAUCAGUAGCUGGUCUGAGAGGAUGAUCAGCCACACUGGGACUGAGACACGGCCCAGACUCCUACGGGAGGCAGCAGUGGGGAAUAUUGGACAAUGGGCGCAAGCCUGACCCAGCCAUGCCGCGUGAGUGAUGAAGGCCUUAGGGUUGUAAAGCUCUUUUGUCCGGGAAGAUAAUGACUGUACCGGAAGAAUAAGCCCCGGCUAACUUCGUG